AUGUUGGGUUAAGUCCCGCAACGAGCGCAACCCUUGAUCUUAGUUGCCAGCAUUYAGUUGGGCACUCUAAGGUGACUGCCGGUGACAAACCGGAGGAAGGUGGGGAUGACGUCAAAUCAUCAUGCCCCUUAUGACCUGGGCUACACACGUGCUACAAUGGACAGAACAAAGGGCUGCGAGACCGCAAGGUUUAGCCAAUCCCACAAAUCUGUUCUCAGUUCGGAUCGCAGUCUGCAACUCGACUGCGUGAAGCUGGAAUCGCUAGUAAUCGCGGAUCAGCAUGCCGCGGUGAAUACGUUCCCGGGCCUUGUACACACCGCCCGUCACACCACGAGAGUUUGCAACACCCGAAG
rnacentral:rRNA from 1 species